rnacentral:ncRNA from 1 species
CCUCGCCCUCUGCACGACGCAGCGAGUCACGAAAGCGACACGGCCGCUCGCCAUUCACGCAAACGCGCGCGACGAGCGGGAACGCCCGAAAAGCCGCCCACUGCCGCCAGUCAGUGACGAGCAUCGGCAACCUACCCAACAUGGAAGCCGCGGACGCGAGCCUGGGUGAAGCCGACCGCGAGUGCAGAUCUCGGUGGUAAUAGCAAAUAUUCGAAUGAGACCUUCGAAGACCGAAGUGGAGAAGGGUAUCGUGCCAACAGCGGUCGAGCACGGGUCAGUUGGUCCUAAGAAGCGGGCGAAAGCUUCCACGAAAGGCGCCGGAUCCGUCGCGAAACGAAACGAAACGAACAUACUUAAGUACCUGAAUGAAUUUUCUUUAGAAAUACCUGUAGAAGAUUAAUAACUUUUCUUGUCUCACAGUCAAUCCCUUCCUUUUGAUAAUGUUUCUCACAAGUGUGUGUGUC